CUUUAUUACAACCAGAAAGAGAUGUCCCAGUCAACUUUAUCUGUCAUACGCACACACAUAAUAGUUUGUACAAAGCCACCAAGUGAACAAAAACUAUUGAAUAAAAUGAAUGUGUAAAAAGAGCUAAUUGAAGGAACAUAUAUACAGAGUUCUAUAAGUCCCUUUCAACACAAGCCUUGCAAAGACUACGCAUUGGUAAUUACAAGUGUUCCAUAAUAAGGGAUUGCCUAUGUAUUGCAACAAGCAUUGAUCAAUAUAUUACUAUGUAUCACCGACACCUAACAUUGAAGGCAUUUUACACAUUGAAGGCAUUUACUGUGUCUGACACGUAUCAGUGUCCAACACCGACAUGACACCAACAUACGUGGUUACUUAGAAUUAUUCUAUUUUCUCAAAUUAUUACCGGUGUCGACGUGUCAGUAUUGUGUGAGUGUCGGUGCUUCAUAGAUAUAUAAUCUCAGUUAUUAAUCAUCUAAAUAAAACUUGGAAGGUGAAAAAA
rnacentral:lncRNA from 1 species